ACCUUCAUGUUUUUAUGGUGCAGUCAUUAACCGGUGGCGGUGGUUUAAUUUUCCCUCACAUUCUCAAUCACGCUGAUUUGAAUUCUGAAUCACGCUUUUUGUUUGUGUAAAACACCUUCCUCAGAUAUCGUCUCGUCGUCUAGGCGUUAUCUGGUGCUCUAAUUUUCCCUCUACAAACAGUUUCAUCUAUAAAUUUGGGUUGGGUUGAGAUGGAAGGUAAAUUGGUCAUCGCUUCCAGUUUCUUCUCGUGUGUGCUAUUUCUUGUGGUUUCAUCUAUAAAUUUGUCAUCGCUUCAGGGAUGGAAAGGAUUGACGAUGCAGAAUGAAUGAACAGGGAGCACACACAACAACGGCGGCAGCCUCCGAUGUAGAGGCAAGGAUUCAGAUCCAUUCUAUUUUGGCCCUCAAUUUGUUUGUGAUUUUUCUUCUUGCUUCUACUCACAUCAUGUUUUAUUUUGUGCAUGUGAAAUCAGAGAUUGCUAUUCAUGAGACUGAGUAAAUAGUCUGGCUUCAGAUUCAAAGUCAUGCGAAGGAAUGCAUAAUGUUUGGGUGUUUUGGCACAGAACGGAUGAAACAUUACUUGCUGGCUUUGCUACAAACUAGAAGCGUUAAUGAAUGCAUUCUCUUUUUAACCACGUUAAUAUUUCAUGUCUCGUAAAUUACCAUUUUUGUUAACUAAUCUUUUUCUGGCUCCAUCAUCCCUAUUUGUUUUUGUUUCAUAUUUUUAAACCAAUUUAAUUUAAUAUAGACAUGAUAAAUAGUGGGUACACUUGCAGGAGUGAGAUUGAUAAGGCAAGCGAGUAUUUGACUGAAUAGUUGGUGUUGUAUACAUAUGGUGAAACAUAAUGGCUCAAUUGAAACUGGGAUUCUCAAUACCAUAUAUUGCUUUGUUAUUUGGUUGAUUGAAAGGGAAGAUAAUCGAGAUCUAAGGGGAAUUGGUUUCAUGCUAUGGUUUUUAGUCACUGUACUAUUUUAUGCACACAGAGAACCAACGCAGGGAACAUUUUCCAGCUAGGUGGCUUUGGCUUUGUUAUUUCAAGGAUGGUUGCUAUGACUUGAAAUUUUUUAUGAUAUUGGUUUAGGUGCUUGGGUUACAAUCUUAUUUGUAAAGCCUUGAAUAAAAAUAGCAAGGAAAAUAUUCUCACACCUUGCCAUGUUGAAUAUGAAUGAGAAUUACUUAUGUCCUUUUUGAAACCAAUCUUGAAUUGUGAGCACAAUAAAGAAAAAGCACAUGUUGUAAAAAUAGCUUAACUUUCGCAUCUUUAAUUAGUUCACUACAAAUUACCUGCAA